rnacentral:rRNA from 1 species
CAGUCGCCACGGUAAUACGAAGGGGGCUAGCGUUGUUCGGAAUUACUGGGCGUAAAGCGCACGUAGGCGGAUCGAUCAGUCAGGGGUGAAAUCCCAGGGCUCAACCCUGGAACUGCCUUUGAUACUGUCGAUCUGGAGUAUGGAAGAGGUGAGUGGAAUUCCGAGUGUAGAGGUGAAAUUCGUAGAUAUUCGGAGGAACACCAGUGGCGAAGGCGGCUCACUGGUCCAUUACCGACGCUGAGGUGCGAAAGCGUGGGGAGCAAACAGGAUUAGAUACCCCUGUAGUCCCUGUCUCUUAUAC